rnacentral:rRNA from 1 species
CCUACGGGUGGCAGCAGUCGAGAAUCAUUCACAAUGGGGGAAACCCUGGUGGUGCGACGCCGCGUGGGGGAAUGAAGGUCUUCGGAUUGUAAACCCCUGUCAUGUGGGAGCAAAUUAAAAAGAUAGUACCACAAGAGGAAGAGACGGCUAACUCUGUGCCAGCAGCCGCGGUAAUACAGAGGUCUCAAGCGUUGUUCGGAAUCACUGGUCGUAAAGCGUGCGUAGGCUGUUUCGUAAGUCGUGUGUGAAAGGCGCGGGCUCAACCCGCGGACGGCACAUGAUACUGCGAGACGAGAGUAAAGGAGGGGGAACCGGAAUUCUCGGUGUAGCAGUGAAAUGCGUAGAUAUCGAGAGGAACACUCGUGGCGAAGGCGGGUUCCUGGACAUUAACUGACGCUGAGGCACGAAGGCCAGGGGAGCGAAAGGGAUUAGAUACCCGAGUAGUC